ACUGUGCCAAACAAUAACAAAAAUAUUUUCGUGUCGUUGUGUUGUGGUGUUCAUGCCUUUCCUCAUAGCAUUAAUAAUGAAUAUAUAUAAGAACUUGUAACUUCUCUGUACUCGGCUGACUUUUGAAAAAGAUCAAUUAUUGAUAGAUUCGGAAAUGUAAUUCUGCAUUUUGCUGCUAUUUUCAGCAAAUCGACGACUUUGUGUAAUGAAUGAACUGACGCCUGGCAAGAGAUGAAGGAAGCUGUUCAAAAGGUUGUUAGGAUGGAAAAACCACAAAGGUCUCAGCCGCAAGGAAACCUUUAGUUAUAGGCUCUGGAAGUCAUUGACAAAAUGAAAAAGUUUAACGUAGAAAAAGUUUUCUUAACUUUUCUCUUGUGAUGAAUAAUAAUGUAGAAGCAAUCCUGAAGUUGAACGUCGUGAAACAGCAUAGGAAUUGAAUGGCUGUUGAAACGAAAGCUGUAGAUCUUUUAGCUCGGGGUACCAAGUUGUAAAGGAUAACUGGUGCUAAGAGACACCCGAAGCAGCCACAAUGAAAGAAGGACUCACAACAGGAACAGAGGAAUCCUUUCUAUAGACGGCCAGUGAGGUAGUAUCAUCAAUAUACGAAUAAGUUCAACACGUGGGAUCUCGUAAAUUGAUCUUUUUGAACAGUUACCUUCAUGUUUUUCAAAAUCAUUGGACUGUGGCCAUGCUGGGGCACCACACUGCAUGGUAUAGUUGGAUGGACUGACCCCAGUACUAUUUUGCUUUCAACCUGGGACCUAUUAUAUCAGUCUCUUAUAUCUAACCACGAAGUUAUGAGGAUGAAAAUAAAACCAACAUCAGUUGUACAGCAGUGGCGGGAAACACACACACACACACACACACAUGUAUACAUUUAUGUAUGCCCGAAAGAAGGACCUAUGGCCAGUGAUUUUCCUAACGUCAACCCGGCACGGUUAACGUUCCUCUUGAGCUGGCGGCUGCGAGAAAAACAUUAGCAAGGACGAACUUCCGGUGAGAAUAACGUUCUGGGAUGGAAAAAAAUUGCCCAUUGUGUUUUGUACGACCCCCACUGAGGAGAAAGGUCUCUCCUGAACAAAUUUAUAUGCUUCGAAAAGAAAAAAAAAACUCCACUUCCGAGCACUUGUGUUCAUACGAGUAAUUCAUCGUUGGUCAGAUUCAAUGGCGAAAAUAGCGAUUUCAAGGCGGCCUAAGUAAUAUAGUACCGGACCAGUUAUCCAGCAAGCUUGCAACCGGAAGUGGCUCGAAUUUCUGGACUAUCCGGUUUUCUGGAAACAGUUUUAAAUAUAUACUUAAAAUAUGAAUAAACUAUGAAAAGUAAAGUGCAAAAUUGUAUUUAAUAGAUUCAAAUUAAUACACUUCUAA